CCUACGGGAGGCAGCAGUAGGGAAUCUUCCGCAAUGGGCGAAAGCCUGACGGAGCAACGCCGCGUGAGUGAUGAAGGUCUUCGGAUCGUAAAACUCUGUUGUUAGGGAAGAACAAAUUUGUUAGUAACUGAACAAGUCUUGACGGUACCUAACCAGAAAGCCACGGCUAACUACGUGCCAGCAGCCGCGGUAAUA
rnacentral:rRNA from 1 species